rnacentral:rRNA from 1 species
CCUGGAAACAGAUGCUAAUACCGGAUAACAACAGAUGAUGCCUAUCAACUGUUUAAAAGAUGGUUCUGCUAUCACUCUUGGAUGGACCUGCGGUGCAUUAGCUAGUUGGUAGGGUAACGGCCUACCAAGGCGAUGAUGCAUAGCCGAGUUGAGAGACUGAUCGGCCACAUUGGGACUGAGACACGGCCCAAACUCCUACGGGAGGCAGCAGAU